GAUGGAAGAGGAUUCACAGAACAAGCAGGAUGUGCUGAUUCAACUUCAGAGGAGGAGGAGAGGCCUGUUAAUCCUGCUGUAGUAUCAGAAGCAAAAGUAACCACAGCAAUAACUGUGAGACCCUGAACACAACUGGGACCACAGUUCAGAGACCCUCAGGAUCCUGAGAGCCAGCUACAUAGGAUCAGGAACCACAGCUUUAUCGAGGUAUAAUUGACAAAGAAAAGUUGUAUAGACCGUAGGCGUACAACGUGCUGUUUGGAUAUGAAUACACAUUGUGAAAUAAUCACCACAAUCAAGCUAAUCAAGAGAUCCAUCACCUCACAUAGUUACCAUGCCUUUUUUUUCUUUUUUGUCGUGGGAGCAUGGGAGAUCUGCAGAUCCAGACCUUGGGGGAGGGACGACGAUGAACAUUCUGAUCUAGGGGUGAAGAUUCUGAUCUCCAUUUUCUUGGGGAAGCUCUGAAUCUGAACCCAUGAAUCCAGAUGGUACCAUGUAUAAGCAGGGGCUCUAAGAGCAAAAGCUGAUGCCAACGUCAGUGUCGUAUGUUGCGGUUUGGUACCGUCGGGCUCGCCUGCACGGAGCUCAGCCACCUCGGCCUGAAGGCAGAAGAGCCAGCACUUCCUAUCACGGUGACCGGCGUGUUAAUGGUAUCGAUCCUGCCCUUAUUCUUUCCAGCAUGACUCUCCACCUCUCAUUUCUGUUCUCCCAGAGGCUGCUGUGGUGACAGGAGCAGGUGGCAUGGAGGGUGGAGGGCAGUCAUUAAAAAACAAAACUUCUGAUAAAUGACACAGGAAUAAACUCAUAUAAAGUAAGUAAAAAAUGAA